rnacentral:rRNA from 1 species
CACGUAGGGCGCAAGCGUUGUCCGGAAUUAUUGGGCGUAAAGAGCUCGUAGGCGGACUGUCACGUCUGCUGUGAAAAGCUGGGGCUUAACCCUGGCCUUGCAGUGGAUACGGGCAGACUAGAGGUAGGUAGGGGAGAAUGGAAUUCCCGGUGUAGCGGUGAAAUGCGCAGAUAUCGGGAGGAACACCGGUGGUGAAGGCGGUUCUCUGGGCCUUACCUGACGCUGAGGAGCGAAAGCGUGGGGAGCGAACAGG